GCGGAGGAAAAGAAAGCAACAGCGAUAGCCUCAGUAACGGCGAGUGAAGCGGCUACAGCUCAAAUUUGAAAUCUGGCCUCCUUUGGGGGUCCGAGUUGUAAUUUGCAGAGGAUGCUUUGGCAUUGGCGGCGGUCUAAGUUCCUUGGAACAGGACAUCGCAGAGGGUGAGAAUCCCGUACGUGGGCGCCUGCCUUUGCCGUGUAAAGCUCCUUCGACGAGUCGAGUUGUUUGGGAAUGCAGCUCUAAAUGGGAGGUAAAUUUCUCCUAAAGCUAAAUACCGGCCAGAGACCGAUAGCGCACAAGUAGAGUGAUCGAAAGAUGAAAAGUACUUUGGAAAGAGAGUCAAAUAGCACGUGAAAUUGUUGAAAGGGAAGCGCUUGCAGCCAGACUUGCCCGCAGUUGCUCACCUAGGCUUUCGCCUGGGGCACUCUUCUGCGGGCAGGCCAGCAUCAGUUUGGGCGGUCGGAUAAAGGCCUCUGUCAUGUACCACCCCUCGGGGUGGCCUUAUAGGGGAGGCGUAAUGCGACCAGCCCGGACUGAGGUCCGCGC
rnacentral:rRNA from 1 species